rnacentral:rRNA from 1 species
GCGGAAGGGCACCACCAGGAGUGGAGCCUGCGGCUUAAUUUGACUCAACACGGGGAAACUCACCAGGUCCAGACACAAUAAGGAUUGACAGAUUGAGAGCUCUUUCUUGAUUUUGUGGGUGGUGGUGCAUGGCCGUUCUUAGUUGGUGGAGUGAUUUGUCUGCUUAAUUGCGAUAACGAACGAGACCUUAACUUUUAAAUAGGCACGCUAGCAUUUGCUGGCGCUGCCUUCUUAAAAGGACUAUCUAUGUCAAGUAGAUGGAAGUUUGAGGCAAUAACAGGUCUGUGAUGCCCUUAGACGUUCUGGGCCGCACGCGCGCUACACUGACGGAGCCAGCGAGUCUACCUUGGCCGAGAGGCCCGGGAAAUCUUGUGAAACUCCGUCGUGCUGGGGAUAGAGCAUUGCAAUUUUUGCUCUUCAACGAGGAAUUCCUAGUAAGCGCAAGUCAUCAGCUUGCGUUGAUUACGUCCCUGCCCUUUGUACACACCGCCCGUCGCUACUACCGAUUGAAUGGCUUAGUGAGGCAUCGGGAUGGAAAGAGAAGAGGGGCAACCCUUUUUUCUGUCUAAAACUUUGUCAAACUUGGUCAUUUAGAGGAAG